rnacentral:rRNA from 1 species
UAAUUAUUAAAUGAUAAUUUAUCGUUUUUUAUUAUAUCAUAGUAUAUUAUAUAUAUUAUAUAUAAUUAUUAUGUAAAUUAUAAAGAAAUAUAAAGAAUUAAUGCGAAGUUUUGAAAUACAGUUACCGUAGGGAACCUGCGGUGGGCUUAUAAAUAUCUUUAAUAUUCCACAACACAUACACACAUAUAAAAUAUAUAUAC